rnacentral:rRNA from 1 species
AUGCAGUCGACGAGAAGUAAAAGAACGGACACUUCGGUGGAAGGGACUUUACGGAAAGUGGCAGACGGGUGAGUAACGCGUGGGCAACCUGCCCUGAACAGAGGGAUAGCCACCGGAAACGGUGAUUAAUACCUCAUGAAGCGAUAGGGUCGCAUGACCCUGUUGUUAAAGAUUUUAUCGGUUCAGGAUGGGCCCGCGUCUGAUUAGCUAGUUGGUAGGGUAACGGCCUACCAAGGCGACGAUCAGUAGCCGACCUGAGAGGGUGAUCGGCCACACUGGAACUGAGACACGGUCCAGACUCCUACGGGAGGCAGCAGUGGGGAAUAUUGCACAAUGGGCGCAAGCCUGAUGCAGCAACGCCGCGUGAAUGAAGAAGGCCUUCGGGUCGUAAAAUUCUGUUCUAAGGGAAGAAGCAGUGACGGUACCUUAGAAGCAAGCUCCGGCUAACUACGUGCCAGCAGCCGCGGUAAUACGUAGGGAGCAAGCGUUAUCCGGAAUCACUGGGCGUAAAGCGUGCGUAGGCGGUCCAUCAAGCCUGAGGUGAAAGGCAACGGCUCAACCGUUGUAAGCCUUGGGAACUGUUGGACUUGAGUACAGGAGAGGAAAGUGGAAUUCCUAGUGUAGCGGUGAAAUGCGUAGAUAUUAGGAGGAACACCAGUGGCGAAGGCGACUUUCUGGACUGUAACUGACGCUGAGGCACGAAAGCGUGGGGAGCGAACAGGAUUAGAUACCCUGGUAGUCCACGCCGUAACGAUGGGUACUAGGUGUCGGCAUGCGAGU